CUAGCCCAGUGGCUUCCAAACCUGGAGGGUCGGCCUAUUUUCUUUAUUCUACAAGUGCCUCCACUGUGCAGCAAAGUGUGGAAACCACUUGGCUUGAGAGAGCUGGGUCCUCUGGAGCAGUUCAGGGUCACCACAGAAGUAGGCCGUCUCUUGGGCCUAUUCGCCCCAGCUUCGAGGUGGUGGUGCUUUAUUAGUGUUAUUAAGGCUAGAGUGCAGUGGUGCGAUCUCGGCUCACUACAACUCCUACCUCCUGAGUUCAAGCGAUUCUCCUGCCUCAGCCUCCCGAGUAGCCAGGACUACAGUGUCGAGGUCAUGAAAGCCACUGAAAGACUGAGAACUGUUCCAGAAAGGAGACUAGAGAGACAUGGCAGCCAAAUGCUCCACAUAAUCCUGUCCUGGAUUCUUCUCCUACAAAGGAAGGGGUCUGAGGAUUAGGUGGUAGUACUGAAUCAAGGAACUAUCAUCUCCUAUUGUGCUGUAGGCAAACUUGAGUGACAUGGUGGAAGCCACCAGAGAGAAUAUCUGAAGCAAUUCAUUAAAAUCUUGGCAGCCAGACCCCAGCUCCCACUUUCCCUGAAAGCUCCCUUUAAUGAAGCUGAACGCUGUCCCAGCAAUUCCCUCCACAGAAGACCUACUGUCACCACCUCUGGAGGGGCAAUUCCUGGAGGAACCAAGUCAGCCAAUCGAAGGUCCUGAAUAAGCAAAAACUAAGUAAAUAAAUUACCAUCUCGAA
rnacentral:lncRNA from 1 species